rnacentral:lncRNA from 1 species
CUGAGGAGCGCUCCUCACAUUCGCGCCGUGCCACGGUUCAGCAAUCCAACUUCAUUUUGCACCUUCCUCUUAGCACCUUAAGGAGCAAGCAGUCAGUCACUGAACCAGCUCAGCAAGAAGCUUCAUUGGCGCUGUUUCUUCAGAGUGAGAGGAGUGAGAAAGCUCAGAACUGCACUGGUAAGGAAUUAAAUUUAUUCUGAAAAUUUUGGUGGUGUGAAUUACAAGAGCAUGCGAUUAUAACUUGUUCCUGGUGGAGAUGAUAGAUUUCCUGAGGGACAAUUUAUGUUGGACAACAGAGAAACUGCUGGACUUAAUUUGGUUUUAAGAGUGUUAAUGCUCAGUGAUUACUUACCUUAAACCUCUUCAUGAGCUACUUAUGCUAAGCACCUGAAUUUGAAUACUUUAUUCUAUGCCAUAAGACUUAAUUUUGCUCAGUCAUAAACUAGUUAGGUUUGUUUAUCCUUACAUUCAAUGUAAAUUUUGUUUACCCUCCAAUGACAUCCCUUGCUUUUUUUUUUUUUUGUUUUCCUUUUUUUUUUUUUUUUUUUCACUCCAGCCUCUUGUGCAAACGCAGACCUCGCUUGCUCUGCUGUGCUGUGGGGGACUCCGUCAUUUUGUCCAUUAAGUUAAUUCAGCUUGUAAAAUAAAAUGAAGACUUUGUGACAGGUCCUCUGCAACCCAAAUGACUCAGCCAGGAGUUCUGUUUGCAUGCUGGGUGCCGCAGGCAGAUGUUAGAGGAUCACUGACAACUUGGACAUCGUGUUCGUGAUGUUCCUGUGACAUGUAGCACCCAGGCUCCAGCGCUAGGGAAGAAACUGUGCCGGUGUGUGUUCUUUCCGUAGGGAGCCCUGACUGGGUAUAUAACCAGCUUCUCUUUCCCCUGAAGUCACUCUCAAUGAAUUUCCCUCCUAUGUGGAGGGCCAGUAUGAGGUAUAAGCACCACUUAAAUCCUACUUCAGCAUUACUUCCAGAGCUUAAGUGGAGCUGAUGUGAUUGGUACCUUGUGUGAACUCUUGUGAAGGGGUAGAUUUCAGCAUCGGUUCCCCUGACAGUGUGGGCCUUUCCCAGAGUGGCAGGGAACAGAGGAGGUAUUAAAGAAUAAGGAAAAUGUGAUAACAGAACCACAACUAUUGGCGAGAGUGACUCAGCCGCACCCUCCGGAACAGUCUCUAACUUCCUUUUUACAACAGAUUUCCAGCUGCUUGCAUCUCUUUAAUUAAAAAGAGAUGUUCUUUUGAAUGGCAUAUAAAAAUGUAACAGCACAUGUCUGGAUCAUGGUUUUGAAGCCUCAAACAUACCCCGCAAUUUAGGGACUAAGAACAUCACAAAAAACAAGCUAUAAAAUGAACUGAACCAAAAGUAUGGAGGAUAAUUCUUCCUUCUUCCUGUAAUAAAAAUGCAAGUUGUCCAAAAUGUUAGGGAUGG